UGGUUCUUCGGUAACUGGGUACUGACAGACCGUCUCAUCAUGACUCGCCGUCUGUGGUCGUUUCCUGGCGGAAGCCAUCAAGUGAUCAUGGUUAAAGUUGAGAGUACUGGGCUAGGCAGGCAACUGAGCAGCCUUAUCUCUCACGGUGGGUGGAUAUGAGUCUGCGGUCUU
rnacentral:SRP_RNA from 1 species